UUCGAACCCCUGGGCUCAAGCAAUCCUUCCGCUUCGGCCUCCCAGAGUGCUAGGAUUAGCAAAUCUUUCUAAUUACCAAAUUUGAAUAGCUAUUUUCUUUACUUUCCAGGAAGUGUUUUCAGACUCUAAGAAUAAAGACAGAAGUUGCAUGAAAAUAGGAGAAUUCUCUUUGGUCUGUUGCUUGGUGGUAUUCUCCAUCUCAAUAAUCCAGAGAGGUGGGGGGUAAGUCAAUUAGCAUGUGAAAGGCAUGCCAUUUUCUCUCCAAGGCCCAGCUCUUCUGAUUUUGAUCCACUUCCCUGCCAUCACGCCAGCGCCCUCCUGUCAUCUGGACUUGGAGCCAGGUUUGAUUAACAGUGAUUACGAUAGCUCUAUACAUUGUAGAGGACUUCGUGCUUUUCCAAGUGCUUCUACAUCCAUGAUAUAUUUUGUUUCCCUCUUUCCCCCAUUUUCUGCAUAUCCAGUUUGUCACUAAGUGCUUACUGGUUCCCUGGAAUAAUGGCUUUUACAUUCCACCACUCCAUUCCCUCCAUUCUGGUCGCUGGCAACAUAAGAAUCACAGCAUAGUGGGGCUGGAAGGAUCCUUGGAGAUCACUUAAUAUGAGUUCCUCGUUUUAUAAAUGAAGAAAGCAAGACCUGAUGCAGUUGGGUAACUUUGUUGAGAUCACAGAGCUCCCCCUGCCCCUUUCAGGCCCUGGGACCACUGCCUUCAAGGCCAUAAAUCAAAGGCUGAUGGCUCAGUUCCCUCCCUUCCAUUCACCCAUCCCAAUUCCAUUCCAUUCUGUAUAAAGUUAGGAGAAAAACUAUUUUUCAAAUUCUAUUUUCUCUCUCUCUCCUCUAGACUUAAUGUGACUUCUUAUUUUCCAAUAUAUUAAAUCAAAAGUGCUUGAGUGGGAUCUAUUAUGUGUUCCUUCUUCAUGAAGUAUGCAUAUCUAUAGUAAAUUAAGUUCUCUUCAAAGUUGAGUGCAAAGAUGGUGCUUGAAAAUAUUUCUUUCAGUAAUAAAUGUUUACAUGAUGUUUCUGAGCUUCCUCCACCACUAUAUACUUUCAUUUUGGCAUGUAUUUGCAUUUUGUUUUCCUGUCACCCUGUUAUCCUGUGAACUCCUUGAAUGAAAGGAGUCAGGUUCUGAGGCACGGAGUAGGUUCCUACUCAAUAUUUCCUUUGUGUGAUUGCAUUGGAUGCACCAAGGGUUGUAGGAGUCCAGAGAAUCACAGGGAAAGGAUCAUUAAUUUUUCUGUAGGAUCAGAUGUGGUGCUAGAGAAAGCUGGACCAACAUUGGAGUUCUGUCUUGAAUUUGCUGGGCUUGGGGAAAGGACAUUUUAGGCAAAUACCCAAGUGACAGAGAGUUCCAACAUCUUGGGUGUGCUUUUAUGCAAGAUGCUCCAGUCUAUCAGAGUAUUGUGAGACUGAAAGCACAGACCUCUGCCAUUCCUUUGCAAUUCAGUUGAUUACUCGAGAAAAAUGCGCUUUCUAAAUGUUGGAUUAAACAAAUCACUCGAACAUAAGUGGAUGGAAGGAAACGUGUUAGAUAAGGAAAAAAUCACUAAGCUCAAAUUUCUACUCUUGAUAGAGGGAGGUAAUUUAUGAGCUUAAGAAGGGUCAUCUCCAAUUUAAAAUUGCAACAAGGCUUUAAAAUAUGGGUCUAUUGAUUUUUUUUUUUACUUUUGUAAGAGUUUAAAACAUUUAGUGGCAAUGUUUAGAACUCAAUUUGAAAAACAUUUAGUGGAAAAGAAUAGAAUUAAACCAUGUGAAUACUUUUCUAAAUAUUUUAAAUACUAUAACUGGCACUCUAUUUUGUUUUUAAUACAUCAAGAUUGAUUUGUGAGAACUAAGGUAUUUUUUUUAUGCAUCCGAAAUUCUGGUGCCCUCUAGCGGCAGAAACCUACUAUUAAAAUCUGAAGUUUGCUUUGAAAAUGCUAAACUAUACUUGAUACAGUUUAAUUGUAUGCAUAUUCCACAUUUCAUUUCGAGAAAAUUAAACUUGCAAAUGAUGGUAAGGAAGUGAUAAUUUGGAUUAAUAUAAAGUACUAGAAACAUUGUUGGAACACUUGAUGAAUAGUUAGUUUAUUUAAAAAAAGAGUGGGCUACAAUUCUCAAAAGCUAUUACAUUAAGGGACACAGUUCAACUGAAUGCCAUGGAAAUUUUUUUCUAAGAAGCUAAUGGUAUGAAAUCAAGAGGACAUCAAGAGCACACAAACUGAAGUGAUAAUUUACAUAGCUUCUUUCAUCUGUAGAUUUUAGAUAAUCAGGAAAUAUUGCCCUUGGGAAGGGGAGCCUGCUAUAUUCAAAGAUAAGUAAAUGCCAUGGUAUUUGCCCUGGUCCCAGAAAUCAGAUUAUAGAGGUACAAAGUAUAAGAUAACUGGUCAGUUUUCUUUUUGAAAACUCAAGGCAGAAUUAUCCAGUUGAACACGUUACCUGACCUAGGCUCUAAGUAACAAGAGCAACAAAAAAAUAAAAAUAAAUAAAAAAAUUUUAAAAAAUGGAAAAAGGAAAGACCUACACUCUUUGGCCAGAAGUCAUCUGUGGGAGGGAGUUUCCUGCAACAUUUAAAAUGUGCUUGCUUGUUAUCACCCUAGCUGGUGGGCUCAAGAUAUAGCGUCUGGGGACCUGAGUUUGGAUACUUGCUGUGACUCAGCCAGACAGAUACACCCUCUGGCAAACAGGAAAUUUUUCCUCAAGAAAAUCUUUCUCUUGGAAUUCUCGAACUCUUCGCAUUUUUCUUCUAAUUUUCUUUUCACCUUGGCUCCACUCUCAGUUGCCUCUAAUUCAAUAGUUUCUAGUUCCCUGAAUUAGGGACCCAUACAUAAUAUAACCUCAGAAGCUCAUUUCAAGAGUUCCAGAGAAUCUUAAGUGUUACGUAAGCCACAGGAACCUUGCUUGUGUCGCGGUUAUUAAACUAGCGUGUCUCAUUCACUUAAAGCAAGGCAAUGGCGUUUCGGGGACAAAGCUCUUUUUUUUCAGUGUACAUUGUUGCCUUUUCUUUCAUUGGAAAUUAUAUUCCUUUUGCAAUCCCUGCAACCUCUGGCCCAGCCUCUCUUUUCACUGGCAUUGCUGAGACCGCGCUUGGGCUUCCCAUCUGGGCUCAGGGUUCCUAUCUCAGCUCUGAGCUGAAACUAUAGUGAAGAGGCCCCAGUACUUGGAUUCUGGCCUAAGCCUUGUUCUCCUAGGUUCUUUGUCACCGAGAGGCUGUCUCCCUCUGGUGUCCACAAAACCAUCUCCACUCAGUCCUGAUUUAAGUGCUUUUAUAGUGAGUUGGGGGGUCCAGCUCUUUCAUUCAGCUAUUUCUGGGUUCCUUUCUUCUUAGACUACUUCCCAUCCAUCUAGGAAUGAUAAAGCCAUUACUUGCAUUCGUAUAUACGCAUUGUUUCAUUGAUUUUGCAGCACCCUUAUAGGAUACGUUAUGAUGAUACCAUUUUACAGCUGCAGCUCAGGAACAUUUAAUGAUCUGUUGGCAAAUGGCAGAGCCCAGAUAAGAAUCCACAUUGCCAACAUUGGUCCAACAUUCUCUCCACUGAAUUACUAUCUCUCUUUUAUCUUAUCUCUUUUUUUCUUUUUCCAAAUAUCUAUCUGCCUGCAGCAAUUUUUCAAGAUAAAAUUGUUUCGUGUUUAUUAUUUGAGUAUUUUACAUGAAAUAUCCUGCUUAAUCCUCACAACUUCAUGAGGGAGGUAUUACUAUGAACCUUGUGUUACAAACAAGGAACUGAACGAAGCUCUGUGUCCUUAGUCACACCCCAGGUAUUUGGCACUGUGAAGAUCUGAUGAUCCCAAGGAGGCUGACUCUGAAUUCGUGGUGUCACCUACAGUGCUACGUGGGCUUCUUUUGUUUAAAGUCCUUCCCUGGUCCUGUCGUCUUCCUUUCAUCACCAAAACCACAUUCACUCUCUCUACUUUCCUAACAACUACUCACUCUUCAACUCCCUGUAUUUUGGCUUUCGAUAUAGAAAUAUUUUUUAAAGUUCAGCAGUUGCCAGUCUUCUGAUGCAACUCCCCCCCCAUUAAUUUUCUUUUACUUCUUGGCAUCUUUUGAGUUUCCUCUCUUUUUGUGAAGCUCUUUCUUUCUUUUUUUUUUUUUGUGACACUUCAAGCUCCUAAUUGCACUAUAGCUCCUCCAUUACUUCUCUGAGUCAUUUAUUCAGGCAUUCAUUUAUUUGGUAUGUCUAUGUGACUCUGUGUGCGUGUGUGUGUGUGUGUGUGUGUGCGCGUGUGUAUGUGUGUGCGUGCGUGUGUGUGUGUGUGUGUGUGUGUGAGAGACAGAGAGAGAGAGAAGAUGAGAGGCACUGUACUAGUCAUUGGGGUUGAAAAAAGAGUUCUUUAGUGCUUUUAUGUCUUAUUUAUUAACCUGAAUCCUUACUACAUGGAUGUGUUUACUUUGUGAACAUUCGCCAAGUCCUAUACUAUGAUUUGGGUACUUUAUGUUAGUCUUCAAUAAAGCAUUUCAAAAUGAAUAAGUGUAAUGUAAUGUGUAAUGAAAUGAGGAGUUUAGGGUCUAGUGUGGGAAAAAUAAACAGUUGGUUACAGUGUAAUUGUGAUGUCAUAUAUACUGAGAAGGGUCAUGGUACUUGGGGUCCUGUGAACUUACAGUCUGAUUCGUGAGCACUGAGGAAGUGAUGCCGGAGUUGAAAGCUUAAAAAAUGGUUAAGAAGGUCAAAGAGUUUGAAGAAGACUUAAUUAAGAAUGGUAAUUGAAAGACAAAACAAUGAAGCUCAACGAAAUGGACAAGAAAAGUAUCAAAAAUCCAGUGAAGCUCAACAAAAUGGACAAGAAAAGUAUCAAAAAUCCAGUAAAAAGAAAAAUCAGCACAGACAAGCAAUUCUCAAAAGAUGAAAUACCAAUAAAUAGUUAUUAUUGAA